UACGUAGGGUGCAAGCGUUGUCCGGAAUUAUUGGGCGUAAAGAGCUCGUAGGCGGUCUGUCGCGUCUGCUGUGAAAACUCGGGGCUUAACUCCGGGCCUGCAGUGGGUACGGGCUGACUAGAGUGCGGUAGGGGAGACUGGAAUUCCUGGUGUAGCGGUGAAAUGCGCAGAUAUCAGGAGGAACACCGGUGGCGAAGGCGGGUCUCUGGGCCGUAACUGACGCUGAGGAGCGAAAGCGUGGGGAGCGAACAGG
rnacentral:rRNA from 1 species